CUGCUUCAGCAGCACAUACACUAAAAUUGGAAAGAUACAGAGAAGAUUAGCGUGGCCUCUGCUCAAGGAUGAUAUGCAAAUUUGUAGAGUGUUCCAUAUUAAA